rnacentral:rRNA from 1 species
AUUGAACGCUGGCGGCAGGCCUAACACAUGCAAGUCGAGCGGAGCGGCGGACGGGUGAGUGAUGCCUAGGAAUCUGCCUGGGAGUGGGGGAUAACGUCCGGAAACGGGCGCUGAUACCGCAUACUCUCAGAUGAGCCUAGGUCGGAUUAGCUAGUUGGUGGGGUAAAGGCAUACCAAGGCGACGGUCCGUAACUGGUCUGAGAGGAUGACCAGUCACACUGGAACUGAGACACGGUCCAGACUCCUACGGGAGGCAGCAGUGGGGAAUAUUGGACAAUGGGCGAAAGCCUGAUCCAGCCAUGCCGCGUGUGUGAAGAAGGUCUUCGGAUUGUAAAGCACUUUAAGUUAGGAGGCGUUACCAACAGAAGAAGCACCGGCUAACUCCGUGCCAGCAGCCGCGGUAAUUC